CAGUGGGGAAUAUUGGACAAUGGGCGAAAGCCUGAUCCAGCCAUGCCGCGUGUGUGAAGAAGGUCUUCGGAUUGUAAAGCACUUUAAGUUGGGAGGAAGGGCAGUUACCUAAUACGUGAUUGUUUUGACGUUACCGACAGAAUAAGCACCGGCUAACUCUGUGCCAGCAGCCGCGGUAAUACAGAGGGUGCAAGCGUUAAUCGGAAUUACUGGGCGUAAAGCGCGCGUAGGUGGUUUGUUAAGUUGGAUGUGAAAUCCCCGGGCUCAACCUGGGAACUGCAUUCAAAACUGACUGACUAGAGUAUGGUAGAGGGUGGUGGAAUUUCCUGUGUAGCGGUGAAAUGCGUAGAUAUAGGAAGGAACACCAGUGGCGAAGGCGACCACCUGGACUAAUACUGACACUGAGGGCG
rnacentral:rRNA from 1 species